UUCACCCCAGGCCUGCUCAUGCUGAGUGGAUGGUGCUGUCCGCAUUCCUCAGUUUCCCUUGAUUUUUAUGAACUCAACUUGUCCUUAUUCUCACUCACUUUGGCAACCACCUGCCCCACCAGGACCUGACUCUUCUUUGGGUCAUUCUCAUCCUCCACACCUGCCAACUUUCCCUCUUCCAUCUGCUCCCUCAGCUCUGUGUCUCCAGUGUGUGGGCUCAGCUCAGCCUCCUGCAGGAGCCACACAGAGA